rnacentral:rRNA from 1 species
GAUUUCUGGUACGGUGCGCGUGGCCCGCCAUCGAAAGGUGUGCGAGUGUCGCUUGUGCGUCUACCAUCUCUUGUAGCUAGGGUGUCUCUCUCCAGGGGCAUCUGAACUACAUCGUUUACUUUGAAGAAAUUAGAGUGUUCAAAGCGGGCUUGCGCAUGAAUAUAUUAGCAUGGAAUAAUAAUUUAGGACUUUGUUUCUAUUUUGUUGGUUUCUAGGAAUGAAGUAAUGAUUGAUAGGGACAGUUGGGGGUGCUAGUAUUCAUCGGCCAGAGGUGAAAUUCUUGGAUUCGAUGAAGACUAACUUAUGCGAAAGCAUU